rnacentral:rRNA from 1 species
GGUCAAGUGAAGAAGCGCAUACGGUGGAUGCCUUGGCAGUCAGAGGCGAUGAAAGACGUGGUAGCCUGCGAAAAGCUUCGGGGAGUCGGCAAACAGACUUUGAUCCGGAGAUGUCUGAAUGGGGGAACCCAGCCAUCAUAAGAUGGUUAUCUUGUACUGAAUACAUAGGUGCAAGAGGCGAACCAGGGGAACUGAAACAUCUAAGUACCCUGAGGAAAAGAAAUCAACCGAGAUUCCCUUAGUAGUGGCGAGCGAACGGGGACUAGCCCUUAAGUGGCUUUGAGAUUAGCGGAACGCUCUGGAAAGUGCGGCCAUAGUGGGUGAUAGCCCUGUACGCGAAAAUCUCUUAGUCAUGAAAUCGAGUAGGACGGAGCACGAGAAACUUUGUCUGAAUAUGGGGGGACCAUCCUCCAAGGCUAAAUACUACUGACUGACCGAUAGUGAACUAGUACCGUGAGGGAAAGGCGAAAAGAACCCCGGAGAGGGGAGUGAAAUAGAUCCUGAAACCGUAUGCGUACAAGCAGUGGGAGCAGACUUUGUUCUGUGACUGCGUACCUUUUGUAUAAUGGGUCAGCGACUUAUUUUCAGUGGCGAGCUUAACCGAAUAGGGGAGGCGUAGCGAAAGCGAGUCUUAAUAGGGCGUCUAGUCGCUGGGAAUAGACCCGAAACCGGGCGAUCUAUCCAUGGGCAGGUUGAAGGUUAGGUAACACUGACUGGAGGACCGAACCGACUACCGUUGAAAAGUUAGCGGAUGACCUGUGGAUCGGAGUGAAAGGCUAAUCAAGCUCGGAGAUAGCUGGUUCUCCUCGAAAGCUAUUUAGGUAGCGCCUCAUGUAUCACUGUAGGGGGUAGAGCACUGUUUCGGCUAGGGGGUCAUCCCGACUUACCAAACCGAUGCAAACUCCGAAUACCUACAAGUGCCGAGCAUGGGAGACACACGGCGGGUGCUAACGUCCGUCGUGAAAAGGGAAACAACCCAGACCGUCAGCUAAGGUCCCAAAGUUAUGGUUAAGUGGGAAACGAUGUGGGAAGGCUUAGACAGCUAGGAGGUUGGCUUAGAAGCAGCCACCCUUUAAAGAAAGCGUAAUAGCUCACUAGUCGAGUCGGCCUGCGCGGAAGAUGUAACGGGGCUCAAACCAUACACCGAAGCUACGGGUAUCAUCUUCGGAUGAUGCGGUAGAGGAGCGUUCUGUAAGCCUGUGAAGGUGAGUUGAGAAGCUUGCUGGAGGUAUCAGAAGUGCGAAUGCUGACAUGAGUAACGACAAUGGGUGUGAAAAACACCCACGCCGAAAGACCAAGGUUUCCUGCGCAACGUUAAUCGACGCAGGGUUAGUCGGUCCCUAAGGCGAGGCUGAAAAGCGUAGUCGAUGGAAAACAGGUUAAUAUUCCUGUACUUCUGGUUAUUGCGAUGGAGGGACGGAGAAGGCUAGGCCAGCUUGGCGUUGGUUGUCCAAGUUUAAGGUGGUAGGCUGAGAUCUUAGGUAAAUCCGGGAUCUUAAGGCCGAGAGCUGAUGACGAGUGUUCUUUUAGAACACGAAGUGGUUGAUGCCAUGCUUCCAAGAAAAGCUUCUAAGCUUCAGGUAACCAGGAACCGUACCCCAAACCGACACAGGUGGUUGGGUAGAGAAUACCAAGGCGCUUGAGAGAACUCGGGUGAAGGAACUAGGCAAAAUGGCACCGUAACUUCGGGAGAAGGUGCGCCGGUGAGGGUGAAGGACUUGCUCCGUAAGCUCAUGCCGGUCGAAGAUACCAGGCCGCUGCGACUGUUUAUUAAAAACACAGCACUCUGCAAACACGAAAGUGGACGUAUAGGGUGUGACGCCUGCCCGGUGCCGGAAGGUUAAUUGAUGGGGUUAGCUAACGCGAAGCUCUUGAUCGAAGCCCCGGUAAACGGCGGCCGUAACUAUAACGGUCCUAAGGUAGCGAAAUUCCUUGUCGGGUAAGUUCCGACCUGCACGAAUGGCGUAACGAUGGCGGCGCUGUCUCCACCCGAGACUCAGUGAAAUUGAAAUCGCUGUGAAGAUGCAGUGUAUCCGCGGCUAGACGGAAAGACCCCGUGAACCUUUACUAUAGCUUUGCACUGGACUUUGAAUUUGCUUGUGUAGGAUAGGUGGGAGGCUUUGAAGCGUGGACGCCAGUUCGCGUGGAGCCAUCCUUGAAAUACCACCCUGGCAACUUUGAGGUUCUAACUCAGGUCCGUUAUCCGGAUCGAGGACAGUGUAUGGUGGGUAGUUUGACUGGGGCGGUCUCCUCCUAAAGAGUAACGGAGGAGUACGAAGGUGCGCUCAGACGGUCGGAAAUCGGUCGUAGAGUAUAAAGGCAAAAGCGCGCUUGACUGCGAGACAGACACGUCGAGCAGGUACGAAAGUAGGUCUUAGUGAUCCGGUGGUUCUGUAUGGAAGGGCCAUCGCUCAACGGAUAAAAGGUACUCCGGGGAUAACAGGCUGAUACCGCCCAAGAGUUCAUAUCGACGGCGGUGUUUGGCACCUCGAUGUCGGCUCAUCACAUCCUGGGGCUGAAGCCGGUCCCAAGGGUAUGGCUGUUCGCCAUUUAAAGUGGUACGCGAGCUGGGUUUAGAACGUCGUGAGACAGUUCGGUCCCUAUCUGCCGUGGACGUUUGAGAUUUGAGAGGGGCUGCUCCUAGUACGAGAGGACCGGAGUGGACGAACCUCUGGUGUUCCGGUUGUCACGCCAGUGGCAUUGCCGGGUAGCUAUGUUCGGGAAAGAUAACCGCUGAAAGCAUCUAAGCGGGAAACUUGCCUCAAGAUGAGAUCUCACUGGAACCUUGAGUUCCCUGAAGGGCCGUCGAAGACUACGACGUUGAUAGGUUGGGUGUGUAAGCGCUGUGAGGCGUUGAGCUAACCAAUACUAAUUGCCCGUGAGGCUUGACCAU